rnacentral:rRNA from 1 species
AGUCGAGGGGCAGCAUAAGAAGUUAGCAAUAACUUUUGAUGGCGACCGGCGCACGGGUGAGUAACGCGUAUGCAACCUACCCUUAACAGGGGGAUAAUCCGAAGAAAUUUGGUCUAAUACCCCAUAACAUUACCGGAGGCAUCUCUGGUGGUUAAAAAUUCCGAUGGUUAAGGAUGGGCAUGCGUUGUAUUAGUUUGUUGGUGAGGUAACGGCUCACCAAGGCUAUGAUACAUAGGGGGACUGAGAGGUUUUCCCCCCACACUGGUACUGAGACACGGACCAGACUCCUACGGGAGGCAGCAGUGAGGAAUAUUGGUCAGUGGACGGAAGUCUGAACCAGCCAUGCCGCGUGCAGGAUGACGGCUCUAUGAGUUGUAAACUGCUUUUAUACGAGGGUAACCACAGGUACGUGUACCUGUCUGAAAGUAUCGUAUGAAUAAGGGUCGGCUAACUCCGUGCCAGCAGCCGCGGUAAUACGGAGGACCCGAGCGUUAUCCGGAUUUAUUGGGUUUAAAGGGUGCGUAGGCUGUUUAUUAAGUUAGAGGUGAAAGCUCGAUGCUCAACAUCGAAAUUGCCUCUGAUACUGGUAGACUAGAGUAUAGUUGCGGAUGGCGGAAUGUGUGGUGUAGCGGUGAAAUGCUUAGAUAUCACACAGAACACCGAUUGCGAAG